rnacentral:rRNA from 1 species
UAAGUAGGGGGCAAGCGUUGUUCGGAUUUACUGGGCGUAAAGGGCGCGUAGGCGGCGCGUAAAGACGGACAUGAAAUCAUUGGGCUUAACCCGAUGGCUGUGCCCGAUACUUGCGUGCUUAGAGUGCGGGAGAGGCAAUCGGAAUUCUCGGUGUAGCGGUGAAAUGCGUAGAUAUCGAGAGGAACUCCGGUGACGAAGGUGGGUUGCUGGACCGACUCUGACGCUGAGGCGCGAAGGCUAGGGGAGCAAAUGGG